AGAACUUUGAAGUGGAAAUUCAAUUAACUGAAGGAAUUGAUCUUAUCCAGGGGAUGAUAACAUUAUUUUGGGAGGAGAGAAGGCAUGGCUAAUGAUGGAAGUGCAGACCUGAGAAGCUGCCCCAUGCGAGAGUUCCUGGGUGUGUGUGUGCUACAGCUGAAGUUGUGCUGUGCCCACCAGGCAACAAGACUUUGUUGCCAUCAGUUUUCUAAUAUAAGCAGAGUAUUAAGUGAAUUUCUACCUACCAAUAUGAUUAAAGCUGUAGCAGCUCACAUCAAAAAAACAAAAACAAAAACUCAGGAAGUCCCUAUAAGCAAGUGCUCACGAUCCUGCUCUCCUCAUGGUGACUGCCCGUAAGGACAACUGAGGAGAGGAGACUUUCUCACUUGUCGAGCUGCCUGCGUGAUGCAGAGAGCACUCUGGAAGGCCAGCUUUGUGAGUUACCACCCACUGUUGGGUAGACUUUCAGGAAUGUAGCUGCUUUUUAGUCAUCCCGACUCCUAGGAGUAACCUGUCACACACACUCCUGGAAGAACUCAUUGGUUCAUCAAGUUGGACUUCAGUGAUAUUGUUACUUUGGCCUGUGGUCAGUUUCCUAUCUGGGAUCACUAGAUAUUUAUUCACAUCCCCCUAGGAAAAGUGUCACACAACAAGGGUAUAGUCAACUAUGACAGGAAAGUCAUGGCAGUAGGAGCCUGAGGUCACACUGCAUCUAUAUUUGGAAAGUAGACACCAAUGAGUGCUUAUGUCGAUCUUACUUUUCUUUUCUGUGGUCUGGGACACUGUACAUGGUGGGGGGAGGGUCUUUCUAACUCAAUCUAAUCAAGAUAAUCUCCCAAGAUAUGCACAGAGGCCCGUCUGCCAGGUAAUUGAGGGUCUCAAGUUCACAUUUGUUAUUAAUACCAUGACUACCCAACAUAUUGCCUGAAGUAUUGACUGUUGGAGAAUUUCUCUUUACUGCUCUCCUGGAAUGUGGAAUAUUACGUUCUCUGAAGCUGUAACACAUGGAUCAGGGAACCAAAACCUUCAAUGGGAGUGGCUCCAUUGUGGUAUUUAAUAAUUUGCCUUUCGCUGCUUUUACCCUAGCAAUUAGCUGAACAAUAUGUGGAUCUUGGAAUUCAGCAGGGGAGGUGUGUGUUAAUCCAAAAGAUGGAGAAGAAAGACCACUGACCUAAAUCAUCAUGGCCAAAUUAAUUAAAGCAAGCAAUUAACUAAA